rnacentral:rRNA from 1 species
UCGACCUGAACUCAGACGUGAACACCCGCUGAAC